rnacentral:rRNA from 1 species
GACAGAGGGUGCAAACGUUGCUCGGAAUUACUGGGCGUAAAGCGCGUGUAGGUGGUGGGCCAAGUCUGUGGUGAAAUCGCCCGGCUCAACUGGGCGGGGUCCGUGGAAACUGGUCGACUGGAGGACGGUAGAGGCGAGUGGAAUUCCCGGUGUAGUGGUGAAAUGCGUAGAGAUCGGGAGGAACACCAGUGGCGAAGGCGGCUCGCUGGGCCGGUCCUGACACUGAGACGCGAAGGCGUGGGGAGCGAACGGG